GGCGGCUGCGGGCCCGCCACGACCCCGCGCCGACGCUGCGCCCUUGACUCGGGUUUCCGCGGGCUCCCAUGUCUCCUGGCCCGGCCUCUUACCGUUUUCUGGAACGUGGCUACUCGUGUGUCCCCUCCUGGAGGUAAAUAUCUAGGAGUGGAAUUGCUAAGUCAUCUGGGUUUCUCAUUUUCUGGAUUUCAAGCAGAUUAUCUUCUAUUGAUAGAAGGAAAAAAAA